UACGUAGGGGGCAAGCGUUAUCCGGAUUUACUGGGUGUAAAGGGAGCGUAGACGGUAUGGCAAGCCCGAUGUGAAAGCCCGCAGCUCAACUGCGGGACUGCAUUAGGAACUGUCAAACUAGAGUGUCGGAGAGGCAAGUGGAAUUCCUAGUGUAGCGGUGAAAUGCGUAGAUAUUAGGAGGAACACCAGUGGCGAAGGCGGCUUGCUGGACGAUGACUGACGUUGAGGCUCGAAAGCGUGGGGAG
rnacentral:rRNA from 1 species